AUUGAACGCUGGCGGCAUGCCUAACACAUGCAAGUCGAACGAGAUCUUCGGGUCUAGUGGCGCACGGGUGCGUAACGCGUGGGAAUCUGCCCUUUGGUUCGGAAUAACAGUUGGAAACGACUGCUAAUACCGGAUGAUGACGAAAGUCCAAAGAUUUAUCGCCAGAGGAUGAGCCCGCGUAGGAUUAGCUAGUUGGUGUGGUAAAGGCGCACCAAGGCGACGAUCCUUAGCUGGUCUGAGAGGAUGAUCAGCCACACUGGGACUGAGACACGGCCCAGACUCCUACGGGAGGCAGCAGUGGGGAAUAUUGGACAAUGGGCGAAAGCCUGAUCCAGCAAUGCCGCGUGAGUGAUGAAGGCCUUAGGGUUGUAAAGCUCUUUUACCCGGGAUGAUAAUGACAGUACCGGGAGAAUAAGCUCCGGCUAACUCCGUGCCAGCCGCCGCGGUAA
rnacentral:rRNA from 1 species